rnacentral:piRNA from 1 species
UACUGGGUGAAAGUCCAGACGGAGGG